UCUGGUAUUGAUUGGUGCUUGCAUCAUGAUUUACAUUUGAGUGAGUGGCGAACUGGUGAGUAACACGUGGGAAACCUGCCCAGAAGCGGGGGAUAACACCUGGAAACAGAUGCUAAUACCGCAUAACAACUUGGACCGCAUGGUCCGAGCUUGAAAGAUGGCUUCGGCUAUCACUUUUGGAUGGUCCCGCGGCGUAUUAGCUAGAUGGUGGGGUAACGGCUCACCAUGGCAAUGAUACGUAGCCGACCUGAGAGGGUAAUCGGCCACAUUGGGACUGAGACACGGCCCAAACUCCUACGGGAGGCAGCAGUAGGGAAUCUUCCACAAUGGACGAAAGUCUGAUGGAGCAACGCCGCGUGAGUGAAGAAGGGUUUCGGCUCGUAAAACUCUGUUGUUAAAGAAGAACAUAUCUGAGAGUAACUGUUCAGGUAUUGACGGUAUUUAACCAGAAAGCCACGGCUAACUACGUGCCAGCAGCCGCGGUAAUACGUAGGUGGCAAGCGUUGUCCGGAUUUAUUGGGCGUAAAGCGAGCGCAGGCGGUUUUUUAAGUCUGAUGUGAAAGCCUUCGGCUCAACCGAAGAAGUGCAUCGGAAACUGGGAAACUUGAGUGCAGAAGAGGACAGUGGAACUCCAUGUGUAGCGGUGAAAUGCGUAGAUAUAUGGAAGAACACCAGUGGCGAAGGCGGCUGUCUGGUCUGUAACUGACGCUGAGGCUCGAAAGUAUGGGUAGCAAACAGGAUUAGAUACCCUGGUAGUCCAUACCGUAAACGAUGAAUGCUAAGUGUUGGAGGGUUUCCGCCCUUCAGUGCUGCAGCUAACGCAUUAAGCAUUCCGCCUGGGGAGUACGGCCGCAAGGCUGAAACUCAAAGGAAUUGACGGGGGCCCGCACAAGCGGUGGAGCAUGUGGUUUAAUUCGAAGCUACGCGAAGAACCUUACCAGGUCUUGACAUACUAUGCAAAUCUAAGAGAUUAGACGUUCCCUUCGGGGACAUGGAUACAGGUGGUGCAUGGUUGUCGUCAGCUCGUGUCGUGAGAUGUUGGGUUAAGUCCCGCAACGAGCGCAACCCUUAUUAUCAGUUGCCAGCAUUAAGUUGGGCACUCUGGUGAGACUGCCGGUGACAAACCGGAGGAAGGUGGGGAUGACGUCAAAUCAUCAUGCCCCUUAUGACCUGGGCUACACACGUGCUACAAUGGAUGGUACAACGAGUUGCGAACUCGCGAGAGUAAGCUAAUCUCUUAAAGCCAUUCUCAGUUCGGAUUGUAGGCUGCAACUCGCCUACAUGAAGUCGGAAUCGCUAGUAAUCGCGGAUCAGCAUGCCGCGGUGAAUACGUUCCCGGGCCUUGUACACACCGCCCGUCACACCAUGAGAGUUUGUAACACCCAAAGUCGGUGGGGUAACCUUUUAGGAACCAGCC
rnacentral:rRNA from 2 species